CUUCUUGUCUGGAAAUCUUUUUUCAAGCUCCGAAAAUGAAACCCCAAAACUCCCAAUUUGCUUUCUCACAUGUGAUGGAUCGACCCGAUAGAAAAUUGGUAUCACAAUCUGUGCAUACUCUUUCCUGCAAUCGAGGAUCUUUAAAAGUUCAUCGAGGCACCAUCUGGAAGAAGCAUACCCUUCAGAGAAUACGAUAACUGAUAUGCUUGAUGCUUCAAUUGCAUCAAGAAGAGACUGUGAGAUUUCAUUUCCUCUGACGAGUUGGUCAUCAACGAAAGUUUCGAUAUUCGUUUCACACAAAGCUGAAUAAAGAUGGCUAGUAAAGCUAUCACGGGUUUCCUCUCCUCUGAAACUCAGGAAAACGUCAUACUUAUUGUUUCGAGGAUUAUUCAUCGAACUCAAACUGCUGGAUGGACGAGAAGAAGAAGAAGAAGCCAUAACGACUUACAGAAACAGUUCAAUUGAUUAGAGAUUUUGAUGAUUAGAAAAUUGAUUUGGGAUAUGAUAAUAAUUUUGCAAAGUAGAUUACUAUCAGCUAUUUAUUGUUUUUUUUUAUUGUGUAUGUCAGAUUUAGUAUAUUUUGUAUUUUUUUUUAAUAUUGAAAUUUUAAUUUCUUAUUUCCAUCGGUAAAAUCUAGAAUAGUUUUGUAUACAGAUUUUUUAGACUAUGGUUAUAAAUUUACAUUUGAAUCACUUAAUUUAAUUUGUUAUCUAUUGUUAAAAGUGAUUUUUUUUUUAUAUUUGUGAUUUUAAAUGAGAAAACCUAUAAAAAAAAAUUUAUUGGGUGCUAUAGGUUGGUUUGUUAAUUGUUAAGACUCGGGUUCAGGUCUAAGUAUCGAAAUGCUUGGACCUGACUUUGAUAUAAUUUUUAAACACCCAGGCUGGGUUUUUUAAUCCAUGUUUUUGUACCCCAGAUUUUGUACUUUUUUAAUAUUAUAUAUGUAUUUUUUUAAUUUUUUGUAAUUUUAUAAUUUUAUAAUUUUUAAAUUUAUUUCAAUGAAAUUGGACAUGAAAAUAUAAACUUUAAAUGUUUAAAACUUUAGCUAUAUGUAAUAGAUGAGUCAAAUAAAUAUAAAUAUUUAAAAUAAUAUUUUUUUUAUAAUAUUUUUUUAAUAAAAUCCAGGUUUCAGACCGGGUCUUGGGUUUAUAAAGUGAUGCCCAAGACAGUUAUGGCUUCAUACCCAAGCUUAGUAUUAUUCGACCCACAUCGCUCGAGUCCGGACCGGGCUGGUAUUUUUGCCACCCCUAAAACCAACAAUAGAUGGGCUUUUUAAAAAAAAUAAAAACCCACUACCGAUUGUGGGUGAGUUUAGUAUUUUAAAAUUUUUAUGGGUGCGGGUUAGGUUGUAUUUAUUAGUUCACUACCUACUCUAUUUAUUUCUAUUGUGUUGCCUUCUUGUUGUUUAUCUUUACAAUUAUUACAAAAGAAUUUUCCUGUGUUUGUAUAUCUAUAUCCAAAUUCAAAUUUUUUAUCAUAGUCUAUAUAAUUUUUACCAAAAAAUGAUGCGUAAGUUUCUAAAACAUUAAUUUCUAAAUCUGAUUCUAUUUAUGAGUUUGAUUCUUAACUUGAAUUGUUACUAGUGUCUGAUUCACUACUACUAAUACUGCAUAUACUAUCAUUGUCAAAUAAUUGAUCUACAUUAAGAAUUUCCUCUAUGUCUGAAAUAUGUUCUUCUAUAUUAUAACUGUCUACUUCCGAUUGAUUGACUUUUUUAUUCUCAGGGCAAUAUGGUUUAAUAUGUCUUCCUUUAUCGCAUAAAAAACAUUUACAAGCUUUAUUUCUUUUUUAUAUUCUUUUUCCCUUUUGAAUGUUUUUCUAACUUUUUGUUUACUAUUAUAUUUAGUAAGAGACUGUUAUUAAUGAAAGUUUCAAUCUUUUUCCGGCAUAAAGCCAGUUAAAGCCAGUUGUUUGUGCACAUACCUACCUGUUUGAUGAAAUGUCUCACUAAAUCUAUGAGUACUAUAACCAGAAAUUAAUCAAGCGUUACCAAUGAAUUAAUCUGCUUUCACCAAAAAAGAAGCCAUGACAUGCAAAUCAGUAGCGUGUAUGAUAAUUAAAUAUGAUUGACAUUAAACACCUGGACGCUCUCCGAAGGUUGUUCAAUACUGCAACAAGGCAAUUCAAGGAAAACAAGUUUCUCCCUAUGAAUAUUUGAAGCCAAUGAUUUAUAUAUGGGAAGAAAAGAAUUAAAGAAAAGUAAUAAAACCAGAUAGAAGGAAAAGAAACCAAGCUAGCAAAACAAGGUUUAUGAAUAUAAGAUUUAUUAAUAUACUGAAAAGUAGCAGCUACUCUGAUGUCUUAAAGAAUAUUUCAAUCGAGAGUACUCCUUGGAUCUUCUGUGGGUUCCGUAGAAUCAGGGGCGUACAAUAAAUGAAUCCCACAUUUUUUCACCGGACAACAAUCCAAACGUUCACGUUGAUUAUGAUCAUCCUCUAAAUAGAACUUGACUGCCACAUUUGUGUUUCUGGAAAGCACUAAAAUCAUGAUCGCCAAAAAAAUAGUACCCCAAAAAUAAGUGAUCUGACUCUACAUAAUUAAAUCCCCUUAGAGAACUCCGUCUGAUCAGCAGCUCAGUACAAUCUUCAGGUUUGGCUUUCAUGAAUUCACAGAACAAGUUAAACCACCUCUUCUCUUUGACAUGAUGGUCUCGAAAUCCUACAACAGCGCUGUAAGCAAAGCCAAUCACUUUGUUAUUACUGAACCAACCUACAGGUGGCAUCUUCAAGGUUAUAGAAGAAGAUCCCAAACUUUGAAAGCUAAACCACUUUGGAAUUUCAUUCCCAGGUAAUAAUACUCUACCUGAACUUUGGAAAAAAUAUCCCUGUACCAAAGAUCAUAAUUUUGAAGAAAUGUUGUUAAAUUUAAUUUUAAAUAAAAAAUUAACAAAAUAGCUUUAGAACAAUGAUCUAGUGAGCAUUUGGAUGUGUGGCAGAAUUCUACAACUCCCUGUGAAUAACGUUAAGGCUGUGGAUUAAUUAAGCAAUGCGAUGUGCCACUCUCACUCUCCAUAAGAUGAGCACUAUCGGCCACUGGAUCACUACUCAAUAACAUUGUAUAGAUUAAAAGGAUCAUAAAAGACACAACAUACCUUUUCCUGUAAUUGUUUCCAAUGUGCUAUUGCCAUAACCUGAAUUUCUUGCUGAGUAUCUUCGAGAAUUUCCCUGAUCUCGUUGCGAUCCAAUUUCAAAUUAUUUCUUAGGUCAAAAUACUGAGGAUCACGACUUGGGAAUACUAAACCUGGAGAUGAUUCCAAUGCUGUGCAAUGAUGUGCAUCUAACUCACUUAGAUUGCAUGGAAGCUUUAGUAAGGAUUGAAGCCUCUCACAAUAACUCAAUUUAAGAUAUGCCAACUUAGAAAGAUGUUUGAUGCUCUCUGGUAUUCUCUCAAAAUUGUUUCUCUCUAGAUACAAUUCAAGUAAUAAGGAUAACUGACCGAGAUUUUCAGGUAACUCCGUGAUGCCGCAAUCAGUUAGAUAUAAAGACGUUAGAUUUUGCAAGCCAUCAAAAUUGUUCAAACGAACAAUGGACAACGGCACUUCUCUUAUAGCAGUUCCUUCAGCAUUCAAACUGUUCAAAGCUUCUAAAUUUCCAAGUUCGUUGGGCAAACUCUUAAGACUUGAGCACCAUCUGAGAUAAAUAGAAGUCAGAGAUUUCAACUUACAUAGGCUGCUUGGGAGACUCUUCAGCCUAUUACAAUGAUCAAGGUAUAAGGCCGAAAGCCCAGAUAGACAUUCUAUGGAUGAAGGCAGUUCUUCAAUUGCAGUUCCAUUUAGAUACAUCACUUCUAUAUUUCCAGCUGAUGAGAUCUCUGGAAGCGUUUUUAGUUUUGAGCAACCCCAAAGAUCAAGUUCUUUAAGAAAUUCAAAACGAAAUAUUCCAGCUGGAAGAAUUCUCAAGCUUUUGCAAUUGUUUAGAUUUAGGUUAACUAGCUUGUCCAGAUGCAGAGUCAACGAGUGCUUUGGAGAUUUGGUGAAAAAAUUGGAGGCCCGGCUUAUUAUCUGCUUUAACGUACCAUUAUGCUGCUCCAAAAAAAUUAGAAGCCCAGACAUACAAAUUGUUAGCAUUUAAGUACGAUAAAUAAUUAAACAUUAUUACUGAAACAUUGCAUAAAUAUUGAGAUUUUAUAUACCUCGACAUCAUCCCAAAGUUGUUGAAUAUUACCAUGAGGCAUUUCAAUUGAAACAAGUUUCUCUGGAUGAAUAUUUGACGGCAAUGAUUUUAGUGGAUAUCCAUACCAGUGAAGAUACCUCACUUCAGCAAAUCCAUGUCCUACCAAAUAAGACACCUUACAUUUGUUCUCUCCAUCAUCUUUAGAGUUAUAGAAUUUCAAAAAUCUCAAUUUACACAUCUUUGUGAAAGUAUCUGGAUGCAGAUGAAUCUCUUUUAUUCUAGACAUAUCAAAGCAGAUACCCUCGACUUUUUUGGUCCCCUAACAAUCAAUGAAAGACCAGGAAGUUAAAUUCAAAUUUAAAUUAAUGUUCAAGUUAAUUGAAAGCCUACGUACAAAGGAAACAUUGUAAUACAAACAAUACUAAGCAUAUAAAGUAUCCAUGUUUGUUUGCCAUACUUCUAGAUGUAAAUUGACAUGCCUACGUACAAACAAAACAUAGUAAUACAGACAAUACUAAACAUGUAAAGUAUCUAUAUUUGUUUGCCAGACUUUUAGUUGUAAAUUGACAUUGCAAUAUUUGUUUUUCCGAUUAUUAUUGCCAUUUCUUCUAUUGAUUUUAUAUCCCAUCUAUUUAUACAUAAUUAUAAGUAAAGUUUACAUAUCCAAUAGCAUUUCAAAUAAUAUAAAGUCUCAAACAAAAUGCUUACCGUAUUAAAGGUCAAAACUUCAAUAAUAUCCUCAUGAUGCCACAGCCGACUGCGUUCUCCUGGAUUUUUCGCAGAUUCUUGCCUGACAAUUUCCCUACCCAUUUCUUGUAACAGAUCAUGCAUUGUUUUUCCGUUGUCGCGUAUGACAAUAAGAGACUUAUUGACAAGAUCACUUAUUCCUAUUUGUGCAUCAAAGCCACAAGCAUUAAGAAAUUUUAUAAUGAAGUCUUUAUCUUUCCCUUUAAAGAAACAAACAAGGUCUAGAAAAAUAUCUUUCUCUUCAUCAUCCAGAUCAUCGAAACUUACUUUUAGCACACUUUGGAUCUCCAUAUUAGGAAUUCUUUUCAAUUUGUUUAUUGCGCUUUCCCAAACUUCCUUUUCCCUUCCAAACAGAUAGCAACCCAAAAUUUCCAGUGCUAAAGGAACACCCCGAGCAUAAUUUAUUACCUUCUCUGACAAUUCCUUAUAACCUACUUCAGGAGGACGGUUUUGUUUGAAGGCAUGUCGACUAAAAAGCUCAAGGGCAUGAUCAUGUUCUAAUACUUUCAUCUCAUAAAUAUCUCUCUUUCACAACCCAAUUCUUAAGGACUUGUUGAUCUCUUGUGGUUAGUAUGAGACGACUUUUAGGCAGAAACCAAUCAGAACCUCUGAUUAAGGAUUUUAUUUGUCUGAAACUAGUCACAUCAUCGAGAACAAUCAGAACCUUCCUGCGGCUGAGCCUUCUAAAGUUGAAGUCAAAAUCAGGAAUCACAUUUACAUCCUGCAAUACUUCUUUAAAAAGUUUUUGCUGCAACCUAGCUAAUCCACCAGGGCUCUGCGAUUCUUCUCUUACAUUUUGAAGGAAGCAAGAGCCUUCAAAAUUUCUGGAGAUUUUGUUGAAAAUCACCCUAGCAAUUGUUGUCUUGCCUACACCACCGAUGCCCCAAAUCCCUAAUAUAGGUGCAGCAGCUAAUAGAGAUUCAAUUUCCUCAACUCUUGAUUCUACUCCAACCAGCUGAUUUUUGUUAUCAAAUGGAACCACUUUAGGCAGCCUCUCCAAAAUCUCAUCAACAACUGUCUUUAUAAGUUCAGAUUCAUUCCUAGCAAAUACAAAAGACAUAGUAAUAAGUUCAAAAAGAGAUCAAAAGGAGAGUUUUUAGUUAGUUCCGAUGUUUAAUUUGAUACAGAAUUAUUUGCUUUGAAAUUAUUUAUAUAACAUUAGAACUUGAGUAAAUAAAAAUAAUUAUAAAAUUCGUGAUAAAUUGACUGUUACCUGAAGACAUGAGAAUCAAAGCCAGAGAGAUUGGCUGCUUCAGUUAAACAACUCCUCCAACUUUGCAUCUUGUCUGGAAAUCUUUCUUUAAGCUUCGAAAAUGAAUCCCCAAAAUUUCCUAUUUGCUUUCUCACAUGUGAUGGAUCGACCCGAUAGAAAACUGGUAUCACAAUCUGUGCAUACUCUUUCCUCCAAUCGAGGAUCUUUAAAAGUUCAUCGAGGCACCAUCUGGAAGAAGCAUACCCUUCAGAGAAUACGAUAACUGAUAUGCUUGAUGCUUCAAUUGCAUCAAGAAGAGACUGUGAGAUUUCAUUUCCUCUGACGAGUUGGUCAUCAAUGAAAGUUUCGAUAUUCGUUUCACACAAAGCUGAAUAAAGAUGGCUAGUAAAGCUGUCACGGGUUUCCUCUCCUCUGAAACUAAGAAAAACAUCAUACUUAUUGUUUCGAGGAUUAUUCAUCGAACUCAAACUGCUGGAUGGACGAGAAGAAGAAGAAGAAGCCAUAACAACUUACAGAAACAGUUCAAUUGAUUAGAGAUUUUGAUGAUUAGAAAAUUGAUUUGGGAUGUGAUAAUAAUUUUGUAAAGUGGAUUACUAUGUGCUAUUU
rnacentral:lncRNA from 1 species